CCUGGGACGACGUUGAAGAGCCCUUCCAGCUUCGGAGCUCCGGGCAGGCAGGGCCGGUGGAGGCCUUUUUGGUGACUGUAAGGGACUCCCUUCACAAGCGCCCUGCCCAGGGAACCUCCUGGCUCCACGCUUCCAUCGCAGAGACCGACCUGCGCCGCGCCGCCCCGCCCCAGCUGCUGGUGGACUCAGGUGCUCCCGUUGGUUGAAGUGACAAAACUCUAAAUGGCAAAAGGAGCCCUUACACGUCCCUCAGUCAGCCUCCUGGGUCUAGAGCGAGGCAGAAAAGCCGGGAGGGUGACCUGGAGAGGCAAGAAGUGGAUAUGCCUACACACCGACCAAUAUGCUGCUCCCAUUUUUCUUUCUAUGAAGAUAUAUAAUACAUGAUUCUUAAAAUCUUUCUGUUGCUGCUACCUCUGAAGAGACUAAAAUUCCCUGAGGCAGUGUCUGCAUGGAGGCUGGUUUUACACAGAAGGGCUUUGCUCUGAAAGUGUUUCCUUUUAAGUUAUGUCUAUAUUUCAAAAUUGCUAUCAGUGGAAGGUAUGGAAUUAACAGUUGUCUACAAUGGAAUACUCUUGGGUCCGUGCCAGCCUCAGCUCCCAGACAGCUGGGGGGCUGUGGGAGGGCUGACCCCGAGCUUCUGCCCCACUCUGCAUGGCCUGCCCCUGCCUCCCCCUCACACAUGUAGUGACUCCUGUGAAACAUUAAAAAGUUGUAAGAAAAAUGCCUUCCAAGUGUCUGGAAGAAUAAAGCUCUAUGCCCUUCAUUUCACCUGUUAUUAGUAAAAUGUCAUACAUUCCUUUGUCCAUUUCUGUCAGGAAAGUUGAGCCCUGCUGGCCUGCUGUUUUUGCUUAUAGUUCUGACUAAGGAAAUUUCAGA